rnacentral:lncRNA from 1 species
AAGAACAAUAAUUGAAGAAGCUUUAUUAAAGAAGUGAAGUAGCUUUAGCUUGAAUCUAUUAACAUGUUCCCUCUCCUAUUUAUACAGAUUAGGAGGAAGGAUUUCCCUCAACAGAAUAAACAGAAUAGAGAGAUUUCCUCAUAUAAUUGGGGAAAUCUUAUCUUCUAUCAUGCCCCCGCAAGAUGGUGCUCCUAACAAGGAUACCAAUCUUGGAUCGAUGUAAAGAAUGGUUUAAAGCAAGAGGCUUCGUGAGUAGGGCAAGAGCAUAUCGCUGUUGCUGUUGCGAUUGCUGUUGCUGUGAGGGCACAGGCGUUCCCUUCGUUCUCCUUAAGUCCGCCGACUGUUGGCAGAUCAGCGAAGACUACCGCGGUGAGGAAGAUGAGGGUUGGC